AUUGAACGCUGGCGGCAGGCCUAACACAUGCAAGUCGAGCGGAGCGGCGGACGGGAGAGUAAUGCCUAGGAAUCUGCCUGGUAGUGGGGGAUAACGUCCGGAAACGGGAGCUAAUACCGCAUACUAUCAGAUGAGCCUAGGUCGGAUUAGCUAGUUGGUGGGGUAAAGGCCUAACAAGGCGACGGUCCGUAACUGGUCUGAGAGGAUGAUCAGACACACUGGAACUUGGACACGGCCCAAACUCCGACGGGAGGCGGCGGGGGGGAAUAUUGGACAAGGGGCGAAAGCCUGAUGCAGCAAUGCCGCGUGUGUGAAGAAGGUCUUCGGAUGUUAAAGCACUUUAAGUUGGGAGGCGUUACCAACAGAAUAAGCACCGGCUAACUUCGUGCCAGCAGCCGCGGUAAUUC
rnacentral:rRNA from 1 species